rnacentral:lncRNA from 1 species
GCGCGACGUUUUUUGUUGACCCGGAAACGGAUUAUCCGGAGCCAAGGUCCGCUCGGGUGAGUGCCCUCCGCUUUUUGUGGCCAAACCCAGCCACGCAGUCCCCUCCCUGCGGCGUCCUCCACACCCGGGGUCUGCUGGUCUCCGCGGAUGUCACAGGCUCGGCAACCGCCCUCCUGUCGGCGGGGAGUCCCGCGACGCCCGGAAAUGCUCCGAAGCCUGUCGCUCAGCUGCCAGAUCUGCGUCUGUGUCCGGUUCCGUCACUGAGGUCGCCCCUGUCCGGCCCUUCCACCCUAGUUCUCUUCACCGUCCGCCCAUCCUAUCGCGCGCGGCCUCAGGUCCCCAUUCGGCAUGUGGCUUGUCUUCCAUCGUCCCCACCCUCGCCCCUCUUGGCCCCUCAGGGCAGCCCUGGGAUUCGGCAGACGCCAGUCCUCCCUGAGAUGCUUCCCCGUCCUUCCCUCCGCCAGGCCCUACGUCUCCGCAAACCCCACGCUUCGGGGUGGCCGCCUCAGACAGGACCCUGAGUCCGAGACUGGGGUAGGGGACCUGCCCGAUCCUGUAACAACCCUCGUGCUUCUGCACAAUCGCCUCCCACUAGCGGUGACUGUUGGGUGUCUACCUUCCCGGUGUCCCACUGAGAAGCGGGCUCCUCCUUGGCAGGGGCUUCUUCAUUGCCUCGCUGUGGAUGUCGAGGUGGGGCAGGAGAGUGAGGAGAAAACAGAGAGGAGGGAGGUAGAGCCAACGAGCGAGAAAAGGGGAGGGAAGUUUAGAUGGGAAGUGGAUGGGUCUGAGGAAUUUGAACAAACACCGACAGUGAAGGAGAGUGACCUGAGCAAGCAGUAGUGGGGUAAAUGGAAAUAGACAAAAUGGGAAUCAGCAGAGAUAUGGAGGACAGAAUACAAUGAGGAGGCCUUGACCGUCAGUAGCAGAGAGGGCAGCAGAAGCCUAAUUCCCAAAUUCCUUAGUGGUUUUCUGAUUUCCAAAUUAGUUUCCCUUUUAAAUUUAUUGUGUCAGGUUCAGCUUAUGAGGCCUCAAUACUUUUCAGUCUUAAUUGUAUAUUGAAAAUACUUUUUGUUUACUAAAUGCUUUUUACAUUAAUUCAGUGUGCACUCCGUAAGGAUAUUGAUGAUUUGAGUUAGUUUAGUAUUCAACAGCUUCCUCUAUUCCUUUGUAUGAUCUCUGUAUUUAAUGGCUGUGGCAUAAAGUUUCCAACUAAGUAUAAGUAUCAAGUUUUCUUUGUGAUGUUUUCUGCAAAUAUUGAAGGAUGACCUGGAUUGUCCUAGAACUUUGUUCCAACAGAUUACAUGUGUUCAUAACGAAUAAAUUGCUCAAAGAUAUUUCCAAAGCUCACCUUUUAUGUUUUUCAGUUCCAAUAAUUACAUCUUUUUAAGGUUUAUAUUUUUUGAUGACUUAAUGUGAUGUUCUGGAGAAGACAAAUGCUUUUAAUCAAUAUGAUUAAAACCGUGAAAGACAAAUCGCUGUUACUUAAGAGUGUGACAUAUGAUCUGAAGUCUUUAGGGGGCAGGGAUGUUAAGGGAAAACUGCCGCUAUCGUAUCAAGGUCAUGCCAUUCCUGUGAAGCUGGUGCUGGUUACUCUCUACUGGCUUCUGUUCACCUUUCCACCGGCCCCAAGACACACACAUACUGACACAAGGCAGUGGAUAGGGAAAGAGCAAGACUUUAUAAAGUAAGCACAGAACAAAGGUAUCUUUCUAAUGAGGAGGAGGUGUUGGUUCUGGGAAGGAAGCUUGGUUUUUGGGUAUUCAGGAUCCAGAAGUGAGAGAGCCUGGGAAGUUCAGGAACCAGAGAAAGAAAAAGACUUGCCCAUUCUCACCCAUGACCCUGUGCUCAGCAGGUACUAGCAGAGACUUCAGGCUCUGUGACUAAAAGGGGUCAGACCAGUUGAUAUACCCACAGCUGCCAUGUAAGGAUGUGUGUGGACUUCACUAGGGAAGAACGGUGUUAUGAAAGAAGGGGCAGAAAAACUCACCUGUUGGUCUCCAUGUAGACGUUUAUUGUCCUGAAUUCCUGGAGGUUCAGUGAAAAGCAGAAGAUUGUCUUUUACACAUGUUGAGUUAUGCCCCCAUAUAUGUGGUUGUGGUAAAGAAAGAGGAUGUGUUGAUGAGAGGUCCUGAAAUGCAUUUUCCUAAUACUCAGCAGGGGCUUCUCAAGAAGGAUCUUCCCUAAGAAAGAAGCUCAGAGAACAAAAAUGGAAAAGGAUUAGAUAUGGCACUUUCACUGGAAAAAGUCAUGUUAUUCAUUGAUUGUUUUGUCAUCUCCCUCCUUAAGUGUUGUUUUUAGGAUGUGGUAAUCUCUGACCCUGCCUAACACAUUUCCCAACUCACCCAUAGCCUUCCCUUAACGUCCUCCCAUCUUCACACUAUCACACUGUGACCCAGUGAAUUCGAACUUGUGAAGUUCCAUUCGGGGGAUCAUAUGGGAAGGGCUUCACACCCAGACAUAGAUUAUAGAUGGGAAGUGGGCCACAUGGUGUCAGUGAGGCAAGUAUGGAUCGUUUAGGGACAAUGCACUGUCAGAUCUUUGUUGACCAUGAUUAGAGAAACUGUGCAUAUUAGUAGUGAAUUAAUGUCAGGAAUACCUGACAAAUCCUGGAAAAGAAGAUUGAUGAGAGGAAAUGUGUUCUGCCCAACUGUAUAAUGCAUUUGAAGCUUAAAACAAUGAAUCAGUAUUGAUCUGGUCACAAAUUAUUAAUGAUUUGAAUUAAAAAGAAAAGUUUAGAAAAUGAUAGCUUUGACAAAUUAAGGUAGCAUUUCAUCCACACGAUGGAGUGUGUUUUAUUCAGUAAUUGAUUUAAAAAUGGAAUCAACCUAAGUGUCUAACAGGAGGGAGUUUUAUAAAUUGUUCACAGAGCAUCUGUUCCAAGGAGACCUUGAUGUUCAUAGAUUUGUAAAGAAUGCUGCUUACUAGCACACUGACUCCUCUGCAAAUGUCUGAGGGUUCCUCCACUUGGGGCAAGUUGGGGGUUUGAUCGCAGAGUAAAUAAAUGGUGCAUUUUAUAAUGUAAUAUAUUCUAGCAAGAUGCAGCCCACAAACUGUAUAGAUACUCUUAUGUACCACGUAAAGUACAUCUACUACUUUAACCAGAACUUGAUACUGUAUGUAUGUUUUUUUUUAGAUUUGGAUAAAAUGACAACUCAUUGUUAUUUCCAGUUCACAAAGUAAUUGUGAGGCUGAAUAAAUUUUAUUAUUUUAUAGACAUAUAUGUAAAAUGAAUUUUUCUAUGAAACUCAUUUUUGAUGUAUAUUAGAUGCUAUUUUAUAUUCUGUAGUUUAAAUAUAUGUACGCACACACAAA